ACGGCAAUUGAUGUCAAUGCAAAAUCGUGACAACGACGCCAAAGACGGCAUUUGACGUCGAUCGUUUUUUGAUGAAAAUCUAUUGAAAAACACCCCACUUUUAGGUUGGCAUUAUUUAUUCACAAAACUAAAUUUUACCCCCGUGGCGUCAGUGGCACGGCAAAUGGAUGCGCCGUUUGGCGUUCAAAAGGUUAAUUAAAACAGAAGAUAACGCAAUUGGACGAUAAUAAUUUGGAUCAUUACGGGGUUUAUUCGGUUUGAGAAAGGGUAACCAACUGUAUUUUCCAAUUUGGUGGAAUGUCACCUGUCAUAAAAAUCCCGUUGAUUAAGAAAGUAACCUAUAACCUUGUCACUAGAAUGUUUCAAGAAUGAAUAUGGAAUACCGUCGCAUCCUGGUGCAGAAUCAAUAACAUAUGAUAAGACAUUCUUUAGCUCCAAUAACGAAAAUGGACUGUUAAAACGCUGCACAUUAUCAUUAUCAAUAUUGGACAGGGAAGCCAGUUCAGGACACACAUGGAAUGGGACAAAUGGAGGAGCUAAUUUAUCUAAAAAAUUCUCGGCUACUGGAGGAUCAAGAUUGAUGGCGUUAUUUUCUACAAAAGCUCCUCUAAACAUUCUAACCUUCCUCCAAACUUCUGACGGCUUCUGAACAUUCAGGAUCCCACCAUGGAGGGCAAGGAAUAUUAAAUUUAGAGGACUUCUUACGUGAAAAUACUUCAUCAGCUAUAUUAAUUAUAAACUUAGCAAAAGCAUCAGAAGUUUUAAACAAAUUGUCACGAGAUACAUCAGAUAAUUCGCCCAAUCUCUCAUCCAUAUGUUUGCGAAACUUAUCCCAAUCUGCAUUUUGAAGUUUAUACAACAGUGGAGAUAUUUCAUGUAAUGGUUUGUUUUUAAUAGGAAAAGAAAUGAGAAUUGGAAAAUGAUCACUGCCAUAUGAAAGUGGAAGUACCUCCCACAGUAAGGAGUUUGAUAUAGAAGAGCUACAAAUUGAUGAAUCUAAUGCACUAGGAUUCUCAUUGGGAGCAGACCGACGCGUAGGAACACCAGAAUUCAAUAUACUUAAAUUAUAAUAAUC